rnacentral:ncRNA from 2 species
CUAGAGUGGCCGGGCCGUGGUGUUCGGGAAGACCGGUGCAGGACCUCGUGUCCCAGGCCGGCGCGGCCCUCGCCACUGUGAUCGGGGAGUUUCCGUCCCUCUCCGUCCGCGCCCUGCGCGCGGACGGGGGCCACUGACCGCAGCCUGCGGCCGGGAAGGCGGGGCGGACGCGUGCACCCGUAAGCCAGGAGACCGGCCACGGCAUCUCACGAAAU